GGAAAGAUGCCGGAGUGGUUGAACGGGACGGUCUCGAAAACCGUUUCCCGAUGGAAAUCGGGACGAGGGUUCGAAUCCCUCUCUUUCCG
rnacentral:tRNA from 1 species